rnacentral:lncRNA from 1 species
AAGCAGACCAAUGUGCAAUCUCUUAGAGCUCUGUAGGUGCUCUUAGAUAAUGUAAAAGCCUCAAAGAAAGAUAAAUGAAACUAGCCUUUUGGUGAGAAGGUCUUAAGAUUUUGGCAGAAUUUUAAAAAAUAUAUUUGAAGCCUCCAAUUCCUCUUCACUGUUACAGAUAAAGAAGAUAAACCCUUAACAGGAGAAGGGACUUUAACGAAGUGUGUUUUAAAGCAGCUAAGAAUGACAGCUCUCAAAAACAUUCUCUUCUUGGAAUUGAAGCAAAGGACAUACUCAUACAGAAGGAUACUUGUCCAUAUCAGAUCAAUUAAUUCAUAAACAUAUCACAAGCUAUUUUACAUCCUAGUGAGUGCUAAGGUGCUUUGAUUUUGUCAAAAGUUCUGAGGCCUGGAUCUGACUUCUCAGAAAGAAAGUUUUGGAAGAUACAAACUUGUCAGUACUUUCCUUUUUUCCAAUGUAAAAUAACUGCCCAGGAGCACCAGGAAUUUAAACACAACAAGUAUAUACUCCCCAAUGCAGCAAAUGGUCCUUAUUCAUACCCCUCCAGCUCUGUAGUAAUGAUGUCACUGAAUCAAUGUUCAAGAUUUGUUCUGAACAUGUCUUUGUCGGGGUAAUUAGCCUCCUUAUCAUCCACUCUUUGUAUUUUAAAUGGUUGUACUAAAUGGCUUUUGGGUAAUGUGGUUUCUGAUGCACCAUCAAGCGAAGAAUAAAGAUACAUUGCCUCAGUGAGAGUGUUUGACA